GCAAACUUGGUCAUUUAGAGGAAGUAAAAGUCGUAACAAGGUUUCCGUAGGUGAACCUGCGGAAGGAUCAUUAUCGAGUAUUGGGUUCGAUGUAUUUUGAGCCCCAAUCUCCUACCCUAUGUUUAUCUUACCUUUUGUUGCUUUGGCAAGGUCAAUUGCGAUCUUGCCAAUAGCCAGUUUAAAUUCUGGAUUUAAUAACCAUGAAUGUCUGAAUUUUGAAUUGAAAAAUUGAAUCAAAACUUUCAACAACGGAUCUCUUGGUUCUGGCAUCGAUGAAGAACGCAGC
rnacentral:misc_RNA from 1 species